rnacentral:rRNA from 1 species
GAAUUCGCCCUUAGUAGUUUGACCUUUGCUCAGGAUGAACGCUGGCGGCGCGCCUAACACAUGCAGGUCGAACGGCACCCAUCUUCGGAUGGAAGCGAGUGGCGAACGGCUGAGUAACACGUGGAGAACCUGCCCCCUCCCCCGGGAUAGCCGCCCGAAAGGACGGGUAAUACCGGAUACCCCGGGGUGCCGCAUGGCACCCCGGCUAAAGCCCCGACGGGAGGGGAUGGCUCCGCGGCCCAUCAGGUAGACGGCGGGGUGACGGCCCACCGUGCCGACAACGGGUAGCCGGGUUGAGAGACCGACCGGCCAGAUUGGGACUGAGACACGGCCCAGACUCCUACGGGAGGCAGCAGUGGGGAAUCUUGCGCAAUGGGGGGAACCCUGACGCAGCGACGCCGCGUGCGGGACGGAGGCCUUCGGGUCGUAAACCGCUUUCAGCAGGGAAGAGUCAAGACUGUACCUGCAGAAGAAGCCCCGGCUAACUACGCGCCAGCAGCCGCGGUAAUACGUAGGGGGCGAGCGUUAUCCGGAUUCAUUGGGCGUAAAGCGCGCGUAGGCGGCCCGGCAGGCCGGGGGUCGAAGCGGGGGGCUCAACCCCCCGAAGCCCCCGGAACCUCCGCGGCUUGGGUCCGGUAGGGGAGGGUGGAACACCCGGUGUAGCGGUGGAAUGCGCAGAUAUCGGGUGGAACACCGGUGGCGAAGGCGGCCCUCUGGGCCGAGACCGACGCUGAGGCGCGAAAGCUGGGGGAGCGAACAGGAUUAGAUACCCUGGUAGUCCCAGCCGUAAACGAUGGACGCUAGGUGUGGGGGGACGAUCCCCCCGUGCCGCAGCCAACGCAUUAAGCGUCCCGCCUGGGGAGUACGGCCGCAAGGCUA